CUCUUAUCCCUCAUUGUAAAAAAAUCUUGGCUUCUUCCCUUCUUCCUCCUCACAAGAUAGCCUCAUUGCCACCGCUGGCCCUCAUCUCCGCCGAUGGCGCCACCGCCAGAUCUCAUCACAUAUUUUUCUUCACACUCUACUAUGUGAUUCGGAAGCAACCUGCCACCGCCGACCCUCAUCUCAUUUCCUUUUUGUUAUUGAGAGUGUUUAUGUUGCUAGGCUUACAAAAUGAUUGUUCCUUUGGUUGGUUCGUAUGGGAAAAGCACUAAAGAUCAGCACCAUCUGGAUUUCUUGAUUAGCAAACCUUGAUAAAGUUUGCAUUCUUGGUUGUAGCAUUUCACCAGGCCUUAGUGUUGUUUUGAAUGUAUCAAAACCAGCAAAGGGAUCAUUGGUUGUUGUUUUCAGCCUUGGAGCUAUAGGACUUGAGAUCAUCAGUGGUGAUCACUCUUGACGGCCAUUGGUGGGGAUUGGAUGGUACCACGUCAUUUUCAAUGUGCAGAAUAAAAACUGAUCAGAUUUUGCACUUAAAUUAAUUAAUUGAGUUUUAUAAAUAUAACUCUGAUUCAGACUCCACUUCCUUAUCAAACUUAGCGUUUGUCAGGGUUUGCGUUGUAUCUAAGUUUACAACAAACUUGAAGUUUUCAUCUACUUGAAUUUCAUAUGUCUGUCAUUCUCAACAUGAUUGCACCUUUGAACUCAAAAAGAUAAGAUCAAUUUAGUUCUUAAAGUAAAAUAAUUACAAUCAAAUUGUGAAAUGUAUAUGCUCAUAUUGAACAUGUUUAUGUUUUAUUUAGUAUGAGAACUAAAAUGAAUACCAGGAAAGGCAAAAUGUCAAUUUUCCUAGUUUUUAGAAAUUAACUAACUUUAUCAAAUAAAUUAUAAAUUAUAUGGUUGAAAUUAAUUAAUCUAAAUUAAUGCGUUGACUCUUUGUUGACUAGAGUAAACUCCACAUAAAUCAUUUUUAAUCUCUAAUCAGUGAUUGGAGUUGAAUUCUCCUCAUCCUGAACUCAUACUUAAUUUAAUGAAAAAUCCGGACUUCUCAUGUGGCGGUACAUGAUGGUGUGUAAGGUAAUGCUUGUGUUUUCUUUAAAUCAACAGCCUUAUUUCAAUAUUUAAUGGACUCAUCAGUGUUUUCCUGUGUUGCAGUUGACAAGCCUGUAAUUAAUGCCUGCAAUUAACUGGCAUCACACAUACUUUAAUGGAUGGGGGAAAAACAACUUAAACUAUUCACGAAUAGGUGUAUUUUGGUCCUAAUUUAUCAUUUCAAGCAUAGAGGUUGAUCAAGCAUAUUCAAAACUUGAGAAAGGUAAUCUACGCAGACACUAGAUUGUAAUUUAAAGCUGCAGGAGGUAUGGGUGUUUCCACAAC